rnacentral:rRNA from 1 species
GAUUAACGCUGGCGGCGUGCCUAACACAUGCAAGUCGAACGAGGUAGCAAUACCUAGUGGCAGACGGGUGAGUAACGCGUGGUCAACCUACCGUUGAGUGGGGGAUAACUAGCCGAAGGGUUAGCUAAUACCGCAUACGUCUCCGAGUGGCAUCACUUGGCGAUAAAAGGAGCAAUCCGCUCGAUGACGGGACCGCGUCCCAUUAGCUAGAUGGUGGGGUAACGGCCUACCAUGGCACCGAUGGGUAGCUGGUUUGAGAGAGCGACCAGCCACACUGGGACUGAGAAACGGCCCAGACUCCUACGGGAGGCAGCAGUGAGGAAUUUUCCGCAAUGGGCGCAAGCCUGACGGAGCGACGCCGCGUGUGGGAAGAAGGCCUUC